ensembl:lncRNA
GCUGCUUCCCGCACCUGUGCAGGGGCUGUUUGUCUUCCCUGCGAGGAUCGGCGUUGCUGUAGCCCGGAUGACUGCAACCUCAAAGAAUGUUUACACUCGAAGUCGUGAAUUGCUUUGUUUAAAAAGUGAUCGGGUUUUAAUCAAAAGCACCGAGAAAUGCCAGCGCUCUCCUCAAGUUUACAAAACAUGAAGCUUGAACUACAGCGCAGGAACACCUUCCAGUGGCACAGCGGAGCUGUAUGCAUCCCUAGAUGGACCCAGGCUUAAGGCUGCAUUGAGAUAGUUGUCAGAUGCUGUGAGCUGCUGCACUGUACAUCUGCGACAAAACUAAAGGCUCAGGGAGAGAACUUCCUGCUCCGUAUGUACAGUUAGAGAAAUGCAAGGCUAUUAAGGAAGCUCCUGGCAGAAGGACAACUCGUAAAAAUCAGGAAGACUGGAAAAGGUACACC